AACCUACGGGACGCAGCAGUAGGGAAUCUUCCACAAUGGGCGAAAGCCUGAUGGAGCAACGCCGCGUGGGUGAAGAAGGCCUUCGGAUCGUAAAACCCUGUUGUUAGAGAAGAAAGUGCGUGAGAGUAACUGUUCACGUUUCGACGGUAUCUAACCAGAAAGCCACGGCUAACUACGUGCCAGCAGCCGCGGUAAUACGUAGGUGGCAAGCGUUAUCCGGAUUUAUUGGGCGUAAAGGGAACACAGGCGGUCUUUUACGUCUGAUGUGAAAGCCUCAGGCUUAACCGGGGUAGUGCAUUGGAAAU
rnacentral:rRNA from 1 species